rnacentral:rRNA from 1 species
AGUGAACGCUGGCGGUAGGCCUAACACAUGCAAGUCGAACGGCAGCACAGUAAGAGCUUGCUCUUACGGGUGGCGAGUGGCGGACGGGUGAGGAAUACAUCGGAAUCUACUUUUUCGUGGGGGAUAACGUAGGGAAACUUACGCUAAUACCGCAUACGACCUACGGGUGAAAGCAGGGGAUCUUCGGACCUUGCGCGAUUGAAUGAGCCGAUGUCGGAUUAGCUAGUUGGCGGGGUAAAGGCCCACCAAGGCGACGAUCCGUAGCUGGUCUGAGAGGAUGAUCAGCCACACUGGAACUGAGACACGGUCCAGAGUCCUACGGGAGGCAGCAGUGGGGAAUAUUGGACAAUGGGCGCAAGCCUGAUCCAGCCAGACCGCGUGGGUGAAGAAGGCCUUCGGGUUGUAAAGCCCUUUUGUUGGGAAAGAAAAGCAGCAGGUUAAUACCCCGCUGUUCUGACGGUACCCAAAGAAUAAGCACCGGCUAACUUCGUG